rnacentral:tRNA from 1 species
AGGGAUGUAGCUUAGUGGUAGAGCACAUGCCUAGUUUGUUUGGGAUUCUGGGUUCAAUCCCCAGCCUCACAA